ACGCUGAUGAUAACAGAUAAUUUAUGUAGGGAGAGAGAUAACAAUCUCUUCACGGUACACACUUUAGUAUCAAGUUAGAUCAGAACACCAAAGAAAUGAGGCUUAUUAAUAUACUCUUAUAAUAAGGAAGAGCUUUUUAACUAAGUACUAACUAAUCCUCCAGUGAGAUACCAAGAAAUAAAGUCGAAUUUAGAACUAGAUAUAGCUAGUAAUACCAUGAGAUCUGAGUAGUCAAUAGUUGUCGGGGCUAGCAUAUUUCCCGGCGCUCAUGAAAAGGAAAAGAAAAGUCAGGUAGAGUGUGUUUGGUGACGAAGAUGGUGGGAAAUUGUAGACUUGUAGUUUUGGGGUUCUCUUUAUAAUUAAGGAGGCAUGCAUGAUUUGAAGUCUUAUUUAGCCGAGGUUGAUGUUUUAGAAUUCUUAUAUGAUCUCCUUUUUCAAAAAAAUGAAUAAAUAAAUAAAAAUGAUAUCAUCUUUAAUUGUA